GACGAACGCUGGCGGCGUGCCUAAUACAUGCAAGUAGAACGCUGAAGGAGGAGCUUGCUUCUCCGGAUGAGUUGCGAACGGGUGAGUAACGCGUAGGUAACCUGCCUGGUAGCGGGGGAUAACUAUUGGAAACGAUAGCUAAUACCGCAUAACAGUAGAUAUUGCAUGAUAUCUGCUUGAAAGGUGCAAUUGCAUCACUACCAGAUGGACCUGCGUUGUAUUAGCUAGUUGGUGAGGUAACGGCUCACCAAGGCGACGAUACAUAGCCGACCUGAGAGGGUGAUCGGCCACACUGGGACUGAGACACGGCCCAGACUCCUACGGGAGGCAGCAGUAGGGAAUCUUCGGCAAUGGACGGAAGUCUGACCGAGCAACGCCGCGUGAGUGAAGAAGGUUGUCGGAUCGUAAAGCUCGGUUGUAAGAGAAGAACGAGUGUGAGAGUGGAAAGUUCACACUGUGACGGUAUCUUACCAGAAAGGGACGGCUAACUACGUG
rnacentral:rRNA from 1 species